rnacentral:RNase_P_RNA from 1 species
AUCGAGGAAAGUCCGGGCUCCGCAGGGCAGAGUGCCAGGUAACUCCUGGGCAGCGUGAGCUGACGGCCAGUGCAACAGAGAGCAGACCGCCGAACGGCAUCUUCGGAUGCGCGUGGCAAGGGUGAAAGGGUGCGGUAAGAGCGCACCGCGUACGGGGCUAACGCCGUACGGCACGGUAAACCCCACUCGGAGCAAGACCAAAUAGGGGAACGAU